rnacentral:rRNA from 1 species
CUUUGGGAUAACCCUCGGAAACGGGGGCUAAUACCGGAUAUGACCUUCUGCCGCAUGGUGGGGGGUGGAAAGUUUUUCGGCCUGGGAUGGGCUCGCGGCCUAUCAGCUUGUUGGUGGGGUGAUGGCCUACCAAGGCGGUGACGGGUAGCCGGCCUGAGAGGGCGACCGGCCACACUGGGACUGAGACACGGCCCAGACUCCUACGGGAGGCAGCAGUGGGGAAUAUUGCACAAUGGGCGGAAGCCUGAUGCAGCGACGCCGCGUGAGGGAUGACGGCCUUCGGGUUGUAAACCUCUUUCAGCAGGGACGAAGCGUGAGUGACGGUACCUGCAGAAGAAGCGCCGGCCAACUACGUGCCAGCAGCCGCGGUAAGACGUAGGGCGCGAGCGUUGUCCGGAUUUAUUGGGCGUAAAGAGCUCGUAGGCGGCUUGUCGCGUCGACUGUGAAAACCCGCGGCUCAACUGCGGGCUUGCAGUCGAUACGGGCAGGCUAGAGUUCGGUAGGGGAGACUGGAAUUCCUGGUGUAGCGGUGAAAUGCGCAGAUAUCAGGAGGAACACCGGUGGCGAAGGCGGGUCUCUGGGCCGAUACUGACGCUGAGGAGCGAAAGCGUGGGGAGCGAACAGGAUUAGAUACCCUGGUAGUCCACGCUGUAAACGUUGGGCGC